rnacentral:rRNA from 1 species
CCUACGGGGGGCAGCAGUGGGGAAUAUUGGACAAUGGGGGCAACCCUGAUCCAGCCAUGCCGCGUGUGUGAAGAAGGCCCUCGGGUUGUAAAGCACUUUCAGUGAGGAAGAACGCCUGGUGGUUAAUACCCAUCAGGAAAGACAUCACUCACAGAAGAAGCACCGGCUAACUCCGUGCCAGCAGCCGCGGUAAUACGGAGGGUGCGAGCGUUAAUCGGAAUUACUGGGCGUAAAGCGCGCGUAGGUGGCUUGAUAAGCCGGUUGUGAAAGCCCCGGGCUCAACCUGGGAACGGCAUCCGGAACUGUCAAGCUAGAGUGCAGGAGAGGAAGGUAGAAUUCCCGGUGUAGCGGUGAAAUGCGUAGAGAUCGGGAGGAAUACCAGUGGCGAAGGCGGCCUUCUGGACCGACACUGACACUGAGGUGCGAAAGCGUGGGUAGCAAACAGGAUUAGAUACCCUGGUAGUC